AAAGAAAAAAGUGUUUUUGGCCUGGUGAAGUGUUUCCAUCUUGGGUUACAGGCUUCAUCUAAAGCGGCUUCUCUCUUGGCCUGAAUGGACUUUUCCAUGGAGACUGAAGGGAAUAGAACUUGCUGGAAUGAAGAGAACCAAGGUCAGGGGCUACAUUUCUACUGUCUUCCCCUUUAUCAUCAACUGCAUUUGCUGCCUGAGAGAUACUGUGAGAUACUGGACCACUCUGGAGACAUGCAUGGACAUGAGUUCAAGAUGCUAGUGGCAGCCUGAAGUAGUAAGUGGAACACAGGAAUAGGAGUCAGAAGCCC